rnacentral:rRNA from 1 species
AUUGAACGCUGGCGGCAGGCUUAACACAUGCAAGUCGAGCGGAGAUGAGGUGCUUGCACCUUAUCUUAGCGGCGGACGGGUGAGUAAUGCUUAGGAAUCUGCCUAUUAGUGGGGGACAACAUUCCGAAAGGAAUGCUAAUACCGCAUACGCCCUACGGGGGAAAGCAGGGGAUCCUCGGACCUUGCGCUAAUAGAUGAGCCUAAGUCGGAUUAGCUAGUUGGUGGGGUGAAGGCCUACCAAGGCGACGAUCUGUAGCGGGUCUGAGAGGAUGAUCCGCCACACGGGGACUGAGACACGGCCCAGACUCCUACGGGAGGCAGCAGUGGGGAAUAUUGGACAAUGGGCGGAAGCCUGAUCCAGCCAUGCCGCGUGUGUGAAGAAGGCCUUUUGGUUGUAAAGCACUUUAAGCGAGGAGGAGGCUACCUGGAUUAAUACUCUAGGAUAGUGGACGUUACUCGCAGAAUAAGCACCGGCUAACUCUGUGCCAGCCGCCGCGGUAAAAC